GUUUUCACGACCUGAAAAUGUCACUGUGUCUUGCUGCAGCACCUUCAUCACCUUCUAACUGGUUGCUUCUAAUUUCUGAGCUGAUUCUUUCCAUCUGGGCGAUACCCAAACCAGGUGGCUUCAAGCUCUAUCCAUCCAACAAUAACAACAACAACAACAUAUGACGGGCUACCAUUCUUCCAAGAAAGAGUUGGAUUUGAUCAGGGAAUAAGAUGCCCCUCCCAGGAUAAGCUCAUCACGUCUAAACUCACCACCAGCUGUAAACUCAAGCCUUAAUUGACACCACCUUCAUCACCCUUUGGAGGGCUAGAGGACAGAAUAUCCAACUUCUCCCAAUGCCUUCCUUUAUAGUAGGCAGAAACUGGACUUUCACCUCACUUCAUCUUGUAUUUGCUGCCCUGCCUGGUUUCAACUCCAUAGAAAACUUCACCUACUCUGGGUACCCCUUUGUGUCUUAUCCCUUCCCCUGCCCCCACUUUCCUGCCUCCUUUUGUGUGUUGUCUCCACUUUAGGUAGUAAGCUCCUUGAGGGCAGGGACUGUCUUUUUGAAUAACUGCUACCUAAAGUGUUUUAUAUUUCAUGUCAUUUCCAAGUUUGGUAAGUAAAACUGGUUUGUCCCCUUUCUUUUCUUCCCUUUGUCCAAACCCUACCCCAAUUUGGCUGUUGAUUUCUCUUUCUAUAUUUGU